rnacentral:lncRNA from 1 species
UUAGUGGAGCAACAAGGCUGUUUAUUCACUUGGGUGCAAGUGGGCUGAGUCAGAGAAAGGAGUCAGCGAAGGGUGGUGGGAGUGGAACUGGUUCUAUAGGUUUGGGGUAGGUAGUGGAAAGUUACAGUUAGGGGCAGUUUUUUUGGGCAGGGGAAGAAUGUUACAAGGUGCAUAGUCACAAGGUGGGGGAAGUCAUAAGGCACGAUAUCACAAGGUGGAUGGAUUAGUUGGGGAAGGGCAGGAACAUAUCACAAGGUGGAUGGAUUAAUUAGGGUAGGGAAGGAACAUAUCACAAGGUGGAUGGAUUAGUUAGGGUAGGGCAGGAACAUGUCACAGUGGUGGAUGGAUUAGUUAGGGUAGGGCAGGAACAUGUCACAAGGUGGAUGGAUUAGUUGGGGAAGGGCAGGAACAAUCACAAGGUGGAUGGAUUAGUUGGGGAAGGGCAGGAACAUAUCACAAGGUGGAUGGAUUAGUUAGGGUAGGGAAGGAACAUAUCAC